AAUCCACAUAUGUCACUGGCAUCAUUAAUCACUAAGCACUAUUUUGGUUCAAAGCUAGCGUUUGAUAUUUAUUGCAUUAUGUGCUCAAAGGCACUGGACAUGAAAAAAGGGUGGCUGUGUUUCAUUCCACUCUCUCCCAUCAGGUUAUACUAUACACACUUCUAAGGAUGUUUUAAACAUUACAUCAGAUUUCCACUGCACUUGAUUAUUUAUUACCUUUAAACUGAAAUCUCACUUUGAAGACAUGGGACCAACUCCUCAGCCUCUUUGUGUUGCUGGAGCAGUGUAAAAGGACUUUAAAGCUGCUCUCAUUGGCCACCUGAGGAUUCUGCCACCCAUGCAUGGUGAAACUGUCAGGUGAUGCAGAGCCAGUAUAUGCUAACCUCCUUGCAGACCCCAGUGCAGGAAGUGUAUCAUGAACAUGACCAGGGAAGAGGGACAUAGCUGGAGAUCUACUCUGGUAGUGUCCAGCUGGUGUAACAGCUACUUUUGUACCAUUCCUCUAGUCCUGCACUGAAUGACUGCUUGGUGUGCCCUAGGUUUGGGGCCAUAACGUACUUUAUAAAACAUUUAAUGUCCAUGUUACUAUUUUGCUGAUUUUAUUAAAUUACUGAAUAUUUCAUCAUUGUUGCAUAGGAAAUUUAGUUAAUGUUUGGUUGACUUCUUCCUUGCUACUUCCCUAUUUGAGGUCAGUCACUUUUAUAGCCUACUUUCAAAACUCAUAAUUGUCUGCCUCCCUGUCAUGCAAAUUGGACUCUUUAAGGUCCACUGAGAGCUGGGCCACAUACUGAGUCUUUGGCCUCCCCCUUGGUCAUCUUCCAUCCAUGAUUAUUGCAAGAGCCAUCCUACCAUUAUAACUCUUGAGUCUCCCUUGGACAUGGCCAUAUGAAUGUAGCUUGGCCUCCCUCAACUUGUCUUCAGUUGGGGCAACCUGCAUUAAGCCAUUCACCACCUCAUUUAAUUUCCUGUCAUGGAGCAGCCAACUAUUUGACAUCUCAACAUCUUCAUUUUUGUAGCAGAGAACAUACUGAUUUCUUAUCUUGGGGUGACAAAGUCUCUGUUCCAUACAUUAGGAAGGUUGAAUUACUGUUUUAUGCACUCUAACUUUAUUGGCAUCUUUUUUAAUUACAGAGAACUAGGUUCAGCUCCACCAUUUGUCCCAAGCAGUUCUGGUAUAAUUUUGGACUUCACUCAGGAAGGUGCACUUUAAGAUGUGUGAGAAAUAUCAAUGAGCAUCUGCUUCUGCGCAGAGUUAAUGUAAACAUAAAACUAAUGGUUGGAUGGUUUUAUUUGGGCCUAAAGGAAAACAGCAAGGGAAGAAAGAAGAAAUGCAUCCAUGAGAGAAAGUACAUGACACACAUCACUCUAAGAUUCUCCAUUUCAAACUCAUUUGUGGCUCUCCCAACAGCAAAGCAGCAGGACAGAUAACACUAAAAGGGGCAGAAAAAGGCACAGGCAAAAUGCUGAGAGUCAUGCAUGACAAGCAACUGCAAACAACUGUGAAAAGGAAUCUGUGGCAUCUGAGAUGAUGGAAUUAGAUAAAGACAAAAGGAUGCAGCGGGUCCAGAGAGAGCCUCUUUCAGUAAGACAGACCCAUCCAUUCACAACUGAAGUAAAUGUUCUUGUCAGAAUGUGAAGCAAAUCAAUAUUUUUUAUGUUCAAUAUUCCUCUCAGGGUCAAAGAAAGGCCUGCUUGUUUCUGGGGCAUUAGUCACAGAUGUUACUUAAAUUAUCUUUGUUAUUCAAACAAUGCCAUGAUGAGGAAUAUUAUGAGAAGGAAGUUUUUAAAAUUUGCACCUAAAAAUUUGUACACUCAUCUCUCAACUGAAUGUUUAAAGGGGAGUUUGGGAUGGGAGGACAAGGUGAAGAGUUUGUUGCUUUUAGAUGGAGAGAUGACAGCUGCAGUUUAAGUUUUUAUGCCUUGGAAAUUAUUUACAGCUUCCAUGAGCUGAUCAGAAAGAAAAGCUUUUUAAAAUGGAAAAUAAGAUGGACAUCUUGAUAUGCAGAGGCAACCCCAUCUAUUUUAGUGCUUCAAAAUGUAUUGGUUAAAAUGGUGUAGCUAAUGUGGUUUUUAAAACUGUUUGCCUAGUCUAGACGUACCCCGAAUGUUUGACCAAACAAUGAAAUAUACUGAGCCAUAAUACACUUUCAUCUAUACCCAUGUAACUCCAAUGAAUCCGACAGACUUCUUCCUGUCAUUAUGUACAGUCCAUGUAGGAGCAGAUACUCUGACAGAGUUGGUCAGCAUUGAUUUCAGUGGAGUUAUGAGUGAAGAAUUCUUCGCAAUUUCCUAAGACUGAUUAGCAAGAAUCUACAAUUGCUGUUCCAGACCAUUUCUCCACCAAAGUUGACACUACUUUUAAGACUGUCAGACAUUAUCACCCCAAUGCAAUUUUCCCCAGAAUGUCUUUGUCGUGAACUCAACAAAUAUGAGGUAAUGUCUCUGACCUAUGGAUCACCUGCUUCAGUGUUUUUGUGCUAUCAAGGACAGCCAGAGACACAUUUUAGAUAAAAAGGAUUUACUAAACAGUCACAAAAUAAAAGUGAAGGCUGUUAAACCCUGAUACUGUAGAUUAAGAAAUGGCCAGUCCUGUAAGAUGCUGAGUACAUUCUAUGAGGUGAUGGAUAUCCUCAGGUCCUAAUGCAAGCAAGGUGCUCAUUACCUUUGAGACUUGAGCUCUCAGUCCCUAAUGAUUUGGGGUAAAUUAAAAACAAACAAACAACAACAACAAACUAAAUAGCUCAGGAGCCCGAGUCUCAUUCCUAAAUGGGACUUAAGCUACUAAGUUAGGCGUUUUUGAAAAUGGUAUCCUUAAGGCAAGUCUAUACUACAGUCCUGCAUUGGCGCAGCUGCACUGCACUGCACCUGCACUGUGAAGACGCAUGCAUGCGGUGAAGACGCGCUGUGACAACAGGGGAGUGCUCAUCUGUUGGCAUAAUUACUCCCCCUUGGCAUGAAGUGUAAACUAUGUCAGUGGGAGAGCGUUUCCUGCUGACAUAAUGCUAGUGUGGACAGUGCAAAACUUGCAUCACUCAGCGGGUUAGAUCGACUUAACCAGUAGUGUAGACCUGACCUUAGUCUGUUUUACAGCAUGAUGCAAGAUGUCUUUUUUUUUUUUUCUUCAGACUUUCUACUAAUUUGAGGUUUUGGAGUCCCUCAGCAAUUAGGUUCCUGGCUGCUAUUCCUCUGAUUCAAAAAUUUAAACCCAGAAGGGACCAUUAUGCCAUAUAAUCCAUUUUCUGGCAUAACACACGUCAUAGAAUUUCACCAGAAAAUCCUAUGUGAAGCCAUAAUUUCUGGUUAAAAAGUUUACAUGGCUAACACUUGGAAUUGAACUAAAAGCACCAGCCCAUACAGCUAAAGCUAAAGAGCCAGGUUUUCUGAUGAUGGUCUUCUUUAAGAAAGUUAGUUUGACCUUUAUGAGGGAAUGCAGAGUAUAUCCUCCCUUUUUGAAAGUGUUCUAUUGUAGCAGUUCUAUUCAUGUGAAGAUCACCCAGAUAUUAUAGAGAAGGGCACUUUAUAGUUACCUGCUCAUAAAGCUCAUGAUGACACCAAGUCCAAAAGUUUCCAACUUGAGUGCCUAAAGCUAAUCAGGUAAGACGUAGGUACCCAAAGAUGAAGACCCUGUACCCAGAUCCAGGCACAACCAACAAAUUACUAUUGUGACAUGAGGCCUAUCUGGAUGACCAUCAUCAACUUGGACACCACAGUUCCAUUUAUGGAUCCCAAGUCUUUUUCUGAGCCCUCUUUUAGGACUGUCCUUACCAACAGAGAGACUUUGGUUUCUCAUGUUGGAGAGCUAAUACUAUACAAGAUGUAAGCAAUCCCUCAGGUUUGCCCCCCAACCAUUUUUGAAUCAUUCUAACUCUCUGAUUUCCAGUGCAUGUAAAAUGUUUAUGAGAUGAGAGCAACACCUCUCCCAUCUUUGUUCUAGUUUCGCUGUCUGGGAUUAUCAACACAGCGAAUAAAUAUUUGAGCAGGAAAUAACAUGCAAAACUCAACAGGCUUAUGCAGCCAUCCGGUGAGCAUGUAAAGCUCUUGAGGAAAAAAGGGUAUAAUGAGGGGAACACUGCCCCAAUUUGUCAAUUACAAUAAGAUUUCAGUAUGUAACAGAGUAUUUAAGUGGAAAAUUCUGGGUACCAGAAAUAAAAUGUGAUGCUGUACAUUGGUAUUACAAAGUACAUUGAUAGUGAGACAGAGAGACUUCCAGGAGCAGAACAAUUGGCUCAUGUCUUCUAAAGUAACCUCCUGCUAAUGAAUAAGUUGUAUCCAUUAAGAAUUACCUCUUCAGCACCAGUUAACAGUCAAUAUAUCCAGUUCAUAGUGUUUUAAUGGAAACAAGCUUUAUUGGCAAUCUUAAAGAGAGACAAGUCUUAAGAAAAAACAACACCAUAAUUAGAAAUGCACAUGCCUAUAUGAAUGUGAUGGACAGCAUCUCUACACUGGCCUUUAGUGAGUUGCAGAAUACUGAAAUAUUACCUAAGACACAACAUGGUAGGAUAACAUUCAAUUCCAAAGCCUAACUUCAAAUUAAAAUAUCUAGUUCCCCCAUUGGUUAGUAAUGGAAGAAUCUCCUGCUUCCUCUUCACAUUCCCCCAGUUCAGCUUUUGAAGUCCAACCAGCAAAUCUCACCGGGGCAUUGCAUUUCAUCAUUUGUCUUAAACAUAGGGGUAUUUCAUCUGAACACUCACACCAAAAGAUAGCUCCUGGGCUGAUAUGUGAACAGAUAAUUAGAAAUCUGGGAUAAAAUUCUGGUCUGUUGAAGUGAGCUGGAGUUUUAUCAUUGACUUCAGUGCAGCCAGAAUUUCAUCCCUGAAAUAUAGUACAUGAUUUGUGUAAAAUCUAAAACAAGAAGUUUUCCUUCUUGAUACCGUGAUCUACCACACUAAAACAUCUUUACGUGUUUACCUAGUACCAUGUGAGAAGAGAGGCUUUCUGUACAUGGGGUUUGGAGUUGUAGAUUUGUGAAGGUUGAAGCCAGCCUGACCACUACUCUAGUCAACAUUAGUGAGGAUUGAAACGAGAGAUAGGCCUCAACCAAGAUAUCUGCAUCUAGAUAAUCUCCAGUUUUGGUGUUUCUCAAAACCUGGAUCCAGAUCAUUUUUUUGUAAAUAGCCACUAUCAUUAUAAUGAGCCAAACAAAAACCUCAGGUCCAAAUCCCUUUGGUCUGUGAUGUUCAAAAUUCAAAUAUUAAUUUUAUUUUAACUAGAGAUGGGCUGAGAUUGCAAAAGGUUGACCAUUUAGUAUAUUGUGUAUUUUACAGAUUGUACUAGAAUUAAUUCUUUUCUUAUGUAAAGAGAGUUUUCCUGCAUACCUUCAUUUUUCAAAAGGAUCAGUGAGGGUCGUCCCCC